AGCAGCCGCGGUAAUUCCAGCUCCAAUAGCGUAUAUUAAAGUUGUUGCAGUUAAAAAGCUCGUAGUUGAAUUUCGGGGUUAGUAGGUUGGUCAUGCCUCUGGUAUGUACUGGUCUCACUGAUUCCUCCUUCCUGAUGAGCCGUAAUGCCAUUAAUUUGGUGUUGCGGGGAAUUUGGACUGUUACUUUGAAAAAAUUAGAGUGUUUAAAGCAAGCUAACGCUUGAAUACAUUAGCAUGGAAUAAUGAAAUAGGACGUUCGAUCCUAUUUUGUUGGUUUCUAGGAUUGACGUAAUGAUUAAUAGGGAUAGUUGGGGGCAUUAGUAUUCAAUUGUCAGAGGUGAAAUUCUUGGAUUUAUUGAAGACUAACUACUGCGAAAGCAUUUGCCAAGGAUGUUUUCAUUAAUCAAGAACGAAAGUUAGGGGAUCGAAGACGAUCAGAUACCGUCGUAGUCUUAACCAUAAACUAUGCCGACUAGGGACCGGAUGAUGUUAAUUUUUUAAUGACUCA
rnacentral:rRNA from 1 species